CUAGAGUUCACAACUUCUGAAGUUCCGAAAUUUUUAUUUCAUUCCCCUAUUGUAUCCCUCGAUACCAGAUAAACUUAACAAAUUAAUUUAAAUAUUAUGCAGGGGAAGAGUUAUGACUGAAGCCUGAAAAAUAAUUACUCUAAGGAUUACUGCAAAGUGAAAAGUUCCAGACUCUUGAAAACUUGGGGUAAUCCUGUAAGUUCAAUGUUAAUGAAAUAAAUGAAGAAUGAUGAACAUAAUCAUUGGAAAUUGAAAAUCGACAUUAAUGUUUCAAAUCACUGAGUAGAAAGUUCGAAAUUAUGUGAAUUAUUUCACAUUCUACGGAAGAAAUCGAAAGGAAAAUAAAAAGUUUUCGUCUUCUGACUGGUUUAGAUUUAAAUAAUCGAUCAUUUUUCCAUACCUUUUACAUUGUUGAUGAUAAAUAAUAAUUGCAACUUCCCCUUUUUUGGGACUUACAAUACAAAUCGUUCAACACAAACUCAAUUUUGUUCUUCGUCGUCUCACGCACGAAAAAAACAAAUGGAACCAAUGGAACCAAAAAAAGUGAAAUCCGUACCUAAUCCAAUUACAAGUAAGAAAGGAAGAAUUUAGCGAACGUUACAAGAAUGUCACAAUACAGAAGACGAAGACGUACUGAGGAAUUAAGCUUCCCUUCACCCCAUACCUAGGGGGUUGCUAGGGUGCAUUCAACACAUACGACCUGUUACCAUCAGAGUAAAAAACCCUAAUCCAAUUUUUCUGAAAUUUUAUUCGAAUUUUCAAACCCCCCAGUAUUUUUAUCACGUGAAUCACAAUUGAAAAAUAUAAAUGACAAA